rnacentral:rRNA from 1 species
CAGCAGCCGCGGUAAUACGUAGGGGGCGAGCGUUGUCCGGAAUUAUUGGGCGUAAAGCGCGCGCAGGCGGUCUCUUAAGUCUGAUGUGAAAGCCCACGGCUCAACCGUGGAGGGUCAUUGGAAACUGGGGGACUUGAGGGCAGGAGAGGAGAGCGGAAUUCCACGUGUAGCGGUGAAAUGCGUAGAGAUGUGGAGGAACACCAGUGGCGAAGGCGGCUCUCUGGCCUGCACCUGACGCUGAGGCGCGAAAGCGUGGGGAGCAAACAGGAUUAGAUACCCUGGUAGUCCACGCCGUAAACGAUGAGUGCUAAGUGUUAGAGGGGUCACACCCUUUAGUGCUGCAGCUAACGCGAUAAGCACUCCGCCUGGGGAGUACGGCCGCAAGGCUGAAACUCAAAGGAAUUGACGG